rnacentral:rRNA from 1 species
GCAAGUCGAGGGGUAACAGGAAAGCUUGCUUUCGCUGACGACCGGCGCACGGGUGAGUAACGCGUAUAGAACCUACCUUUUACAGGGGAAUAGCCCAGAGAAAUUUGGAUUAAUGCCCUAUAGUAUUAUUGAAUGGCAUCAUUUAGUAAUUAAACAUUUAUGGGUAAAAGAUGGCUAUGCGUUCUAUUAGCUAGAUGGUAAGGAAACGGCUUACCAUGGCAACGAUAGAUAGGGGUCCUGAGAGGGAGAUC